rnacentral:rRNA from 1 species
CCUACGGGAGGCAGCAGUAGGGAAUAUUGCGCAAUGGGCGAAAGCCUGACGCAGCAACGCCGCGUGAUCGAGACGCCCUUCGGGGUGUAAAGAUCUGUCAGUGGGGGCGAAACUUGACGGUACGCACAGAGGAAUCACCGGCUAACUCCGUGCCAGCAGCCGCGGUAAUACGGGGGGUGCAAGCGUUGUCCGGAAUCAUUGGGCGUAAAGAGUUCGUAGGCGGCACGUAAAGUCUGGUGUUAAAGGCACAGGCUCAACUUCUGUACGGCACUGGAUACUUGCGAGCGAGAGUGCGGUAGAGGUAAGUGGAAUUCCUGGUGUAGCGGUGAAAUGCUUAGAUAUCAGGAGGAACAUCGGUAGCGUAGGCGCUUUACUGGGCCGUAACUGACGCUGAGGAACGAAAGCCAGGGUAGCAAAUGGGAUUAGAUACCCGGGUAGUC